rnacentral:rRNA from 1 species
AAACCUACCCUAGCCCACUCAUACUACCCACUCCCACAACUAACAAACCUACUUCCUAAACUUAAACUAAACCAUUCUUCCAACUUAGUAUAGGCGAUAGAAAAGAUACCUUGGCGCGAUAGAAAUUUUGUACCGUAAGGGAAAGAUGAAAUAAUAAUGAAAAACAAAGCAGUAAAAAGCAAAGAUAAACCCUUGUACCUUUUGCAUCAUGAUUUAGCAAGAACAACCAAGCAAAGCGAACUUAAGGCUUGCCCUCCCGAAACUCAAGCGAGCUACUUGCAAGCAGCUAUCAAUGAGCGAACCCGUCUCUGUUGCAAAAGAGUGGGAUGACUUGCAAGUAGAGGUGAAAAGCCAACCGAGCUGAGUGAUAGCUGGUUGCCUGUAAAAUGAAUCUAAGUUCCCUCUUGACUUCUCCCCCAGGACACCUACAACCCUAAUGAAGAAAGUCAAGAGUAAUUUAAAGGAGGUACAGCUCCUUUAAAAAAGGAAACAACCUCCAUUAGCGGAUAACCACCACCCACCCCAGAACUGUGGGCCUUCAAGCAGCCAUCACUAAAGAGUGCGUCACAGCUCCUUACCUAAAAAUCCAACAAUUUCAAUCGACUCCCUUAAUCCAUAACAGGCUAACCUAUAAUUAUAGGAGAAUUAAUGCUAGAAUGAGUAACUAGGGCUUACCCUCUUAAGCGCAAACUUACAUCACUAUUAACAGACCAAACUAAUACUUCAACUCAAACAAGAUUAAAAUAUUCACCUACCCUGUUACCCCAACUCCGGAGCGCAGACUAGAAAGAUUAAAAUCUGUAAAAGGAACUAGGCAAACACAAGGCCCGACUGUUUACCAAAAACAUAGCCUUCAGCCCAUCCAAGUAUUGAAGGUGAUGCCUGCCCAGUGACAUUACGUUUAACGGCCGCGGUAUCCUAACCGUGCGAAGGUAGCGCAAUCAAUUGUCCCAUAAAUCGAGACUUGUAUGAAUGGCUAAACGAGGUCUUAACUGUCUCCUACAGAUAAUCAGUGAAAUUGAUCUUCCUGUGCAAAAGCAGGAAUAAGUUCAUAAGACGAGAAGACCCUGUGGAACUUAAAAAUCAGUGACCACCACACACAUGUACAAACCUACCAGGCUCACUAUGCACUUAAAUGCUGGCCCACAUUUUUUGGUUGGGGCGACCUUGGAGAAAAACAAAUCCUCCAAAAAUAAGACCACACCUCUUGACCAAGAGCAACCCCUCAACGUACUAACAGUAACCAGACCCAAUAUAAUUGAUUAAUGGACCAAGCUACCCCAGGGAUAACAGCGCAAUCCCCUCUAAGAGCUCACAUCGACGAGGGGGUUUACGACCUCGAUGUUGGAUCAGGACAUCCUAAUGGUGCAGCCGCUAUUAAGGGUUCGUUUGUUCAACGAUUAAUAGUCCUACGUGAUCUGAGUUCAGACCGGAGCAAUCCAGGUCGGUUUCUAUCUAUGACUGAACUUUCCCUAGUACGAAAGGACCGGGAAAGUAGGGCCAAUACUACAAGCACGCCCUCCUCCUAAGUAAUGAACCCCACUAAAUUACUAAGAGACUCUAACAUUACACAAUCCUAGAAAAGGCCCG